GACGAACGCUGGCGGCGUGCUUAACACAUGCAAGUCGAACGGAAAGGCCCUGCUUUUGUGGGGUGCUCGAGUGGCGAACGGGUGAGUAACACGUGAGUAACCUGCCCUUGACUUUGGGAUAACUUCAGGAAACUGGGGCUAAUACCGGAGAGGAGCUCCUGCUGCAUGGGGGUGGUUGGAAAGUUUCGGCGGUUGGGGAUGGACGCGCGGCUUAUCAGCUUGUUGGGUGGGUAGUUGCUUACCAAGGCUUUGACGGCUAGUCGGCCUGGGAGCGUGACCGGCGACAAUGCGCCUGAGAGAGGGAGCAGUCGCGUACGGGAGGCAGCAGGCGGAAGCCUUGCCCAGUGGGCGCACGUGUGAUAAGGAGACCCCGGGUUCGUGAAGCCGGCUUUCUGGUUGGGAACCGCUGUCGCCUGUGACGAAGCGUGAGUGACGGUAAUGAGUAAAGAAGCACCGGCUAACUACGUG
rnacentral:rRNA from 1 species